UACGGAGGGUGCAAGCGUUAUCCGGAUUUACUGGGUUUAAAGGGUGUGUAGGCGGGUCUUUAAGUCAGUGGUGAAAUCUCCGAGCUCAACUUGGAAACUGCCAUUGAUACUAUUGAUCUUGAAUUCCGUUGAGGUUGGCGGAAUAAGUCAUGUAGCGGUGAAAUGCAUAGAUAUGACUUAGAACACCGAUUGCGAAGGCAGCUAACUAAACAGAUAUUGACGCUGAGGCACGAAAGCGUGGGGAUCAAACAGG
rnacentral:rRNA from 1 species